GCCGGGCGUGGUGGCGCAUGCCUGUGAUCCCAGCUACUCAGGAGGCUGAGGCAGGAGAAUCACUUGAACCCAGGAGCCGGAGGCUGCAGUGCGCUGAGAUCACACCACUGCACUCCAGCCUGGGCAACAGUGUGAGACUCUGUCUCAA
ensembl:misc_RNA Metazoa_SRP Metazoan signal recognition particle RNA